UUAGGUGAGCAUAGAUAAUACUGAUAGGUAAACAUGAAAGACUCUUCGUCAUAGUCCACAAAUAAAUAUGUUCCGUGAAAGGGAAAAGGACCAUUAGAGAACAAAGGACUAAGAACGGCGAGUGUUUCCUAUUGUGGGUCGUCUUUUUUGACGUCAAAGCUAAGCACCUCAGGAAAAUGAAGAGUGGUGAAGACAAGAAUUCUAGGGCCCAUAGUUGCAUAAGAUAAGUGGACACCGUCUUAUACUCAUGAAUUUUCUUCAUACAGAGCUGGUCCAAAUCACUCAUAUAAGGAGCUAGGAUAUCUUUUGAAAAACCAAAGAUGAGUGUGGCGAGUGGUAUGGGGUUUCACAUUGCCUGCAAAAAGAAUUUUGGAUCAGAAGACACUGUAACCCAUAAAGUCGGGAAUAUACUCUCUAGCCAUAGAAACCAUAAAUCGUAAUUUACUAUUGCCUUUAAAACAACUCAAGCAUUUGUCUCUGAAUGAAAAAUUCCUAAAAUAGUUAGGAUUGGGACUAAGGUAGGACUAUAACGAUGAUAACAAAUCGCUCAAUGCAAUGGUAUGGUUAACGUAAGAAACAACCAUUUGCUUCAACUCCAUUGAACAUAUAUACAAGGACCUCUCCCGUCCUGCCAGAUCUUCCAUGCCGCCGCCGCUGCCUUCAUUCCCCUUGAGCUUGUUGUUGCUUACGCAUGCAUUCCCCUUAAACUAAUAUAGAUUUUGCUUUGAAGUUUUAGUACAUUUAGUAAUGAAAAAA
rnacentral:lncRNA from 1 species